rnacentral:rRNA from 1 species
UUCCGGUUGAUCCCGCCAGACCCGACUGCUAUCGGAUUGAGACUAAGCCAUGCGAGUCAACCCGCAAGGGUGGCGGACGGCUCAGUAACACGUAGUGAACCUGCCCUGGGGACGUGGACAACCAUGGGAAACUGUGGCUAAACCGCGAUAGGUCAUUGUUUCUGGAAUGGGCAAUGGCUCAAACCUACAUGGCCCCAGGAUGGCACUGCGGCCGAUCAGGUUGUUGGUGAGGUAAUGGCCCACCAAGCCUGUAACCGGUACGGGCUCUGAGAGGAGGAGCCUGGAGAUGGGCACUGAGACAAGGGCCCAGGUCCUAUGGGACGCAGCAGGCGCGAAACCUUCGCAAUAGGCGAAAGCCUGACGAGGUUAUUCCGAGUGUUCCCUGCUAAAGGGAUCUUUUGCCAGCUCUAAAAAUGCUGGUGAAUAAGGGGUGGGCAAGCCUGGUGUCAGCCGCCGCGGUAAUACCAGCACCCCGAGUGGUCGGGAUGAUUAUUUGGCCUAAAGCAUCCGUAGCCGGCGCUUCAAGUCUUCCGUUAAAUCCACCUGCUCAACAGAUGGGCUGCGGGAGAUACUGCUGCGCUAGGAGGCGGGAGAGGCGAGGGGUAUUCCAUGGGUAGGGGUAAAAUCCUCUGAUCCAUGGAGGACCACCAGUGGCGAAGGCGUCUCGCCAGAACGCGCUCGACGGUGAGGGAUGAAAGCUGGGGGAGCAAACCGGAUUAGAUACCCGGGUAGUCCCAGCUGUAAACGAUGUAGGCUCGGUGAUGGACUGGAUUCGAUCCAGCCCAGUGCCGCAGGGAAGCCGUUAAGCCUACCGCCUGGGGAGUACGGUCGCAAGACUGAAACUUAAAGGAAUUGGCGGG